rnacentral:rRNA from 1 species
UACAGAGGGUGCGAGCGUUAAUCGGAAUUACUGGGCGUAAAGGGCGCGUAGGCGGUUAUUUAAGUUGGAUGUGAAAUCCCUGGGCUUAACCUAGGAACUGCAUGCAAUACUGGAUGACUGGAGUGCGGUAGAGGGUAGUGGAAUUUCCGGUGUAGCGGUGAAAUGCGUAGAUAUCGGAAGGAACACCAGUGGCGAAGGCGGCUACCUGGACUGACACUGACGCUGAGGCGCGAAAGCGUGGGGAGCAAACAGG